GCAAAUAAGGUCCUUCCUUGAUUAAUCAUCUGGGGCAUUUCCUAAAGUUCUGGUGGCAAUGGGAUACCAUUCUGCUGCUACUCAGGCUUCUAGAAGAUGGACAGAUUCAGAACAUUACAAAGAGGACAAGAGAGGCAUACGAAUGUGAGGGAAAGGAGCAUUAUGGACAAGCAUGACCCUUGGUUGAGCCAUGGAAGAUCUCUAUUGCCCCUUCCUUGAUGAAAGCUACCCACAUCAACAGGAGUGAUGCCUGGCAGAUAAAAACAAUCAUGGGCAACCUCACAACAAGGAAACAAGACCGGUGGUCAGACUGCUAAAGUCUGAAAGAGACUAGUGGAUUUGGUGGAUUCACAGCUCUAGCUUAUGUCAGUGAGUCACGUGUUAGGAGAACUGCUGCUCCCUCUAGGAAGGCAGUUAUUCAUUGUACAAGAGUAUAGCAGAAAUGAUGGUAUAUCACUUCCAAGACUGAAUGGCCUCUCCUGGAACAUACUCCUCAUAUUCUCCUGGGUGGGAGUCCCUGAAGGAGGACAGCUGCCAUGCUGCCAGGCAGCCCCAAGGAUAGUCCCACACGGGAAGGAAUAGGAGCCUACCAACAACCAAUGGUGAGUGCAAAAGCAGAUCCCCCCACCCAAUAGAGCCUGCGAGCCUUCUGAUGAGACCACAGACUAGGACAACAGCUUGACCACAGCCUCAAGUGGAAGGUUGGGCCAGAGACUCUCAAUUGAAGCUGUGUGUAUCUUCCUGAUCCCCGUUAAGUGUAGAGAUAAUAAAUACUUACUGAUUUUGAGCUCCUAAAUUUUGGCUAAUUUGUUACCCAGCACAAAUAG